UUCUCGUACGAUCACUGAAGUUAAGCAACGUUGAGCCUGGUCAGUACCUAGAUGGGUGACCGAUUGGGAAUACCAGGUUCUGUAAG